rnacentral:rRNA from 1 species
CCUACGGGGGGCAGCAGUGGGGAAUAUUGGACAAUGGGGGCAACCCUGAUCCAGCCAUGCCGCGUGUGUGAAGAAGGCCCUCGGGUUGUAAAGCACUUUCAGUGAGGAAGAACGCCUGGUGGUUAAUACCCAUCAGGAAAGACAUCACUUACAGAAGAAGCACCGGCUAACUCCGUGCCAGCAGCCGCGGUAAUACGGAGGGUGCGAGCGUUAAUCGGAAUUACUGGGCGUAAAGCGCGCGUAGGUGGCUUGAUAAGCCGGUUGUGAAAGCCCCGGGCUCAACCUGGGAACGGCAUCCGGAACUGUCAAGCUAGAGUGCAGGAGAGGAAGGUAGAAUUCCCGGUGUAGCGGUGAAAUGCGUAGAGAUCGGGAGGAAUACCAGUGGCGAAGGCGGCCUUCUGGACUGACACUGACACUGAGGUGCGAAAGCGUGGGUAGCAAACAGGAUUAGAUACCCGAGUAGUC